CACAUGUAACUGGCCUCUCAGUUACGAGCAACUUGGGUCUUUACUUUAAUCAGUUGGUGAGUUGGUACAGGAGGAAAACUGAGCAAAAUGAAAUAUUUUGUUAUUUUCUUGCUCCUUGCUGUGUUACAACUUGGCAACGCUUUCGUCAUCGAUCAACGUGACGUUUCAUCUGAGACUAAAGGUCGCAAAAAAAGAUGUGCAGAAAGAAAUCAAUUUUGUGGUUUUUACAAAGAUUGUUGUAGGGGUUUUUGCGAUGGGACUCGAUCUCAGUGCACCGGCUAGACCUUCACAUUUUUAAACCUUCCUUCUGAAGUGACUGUUGGAAAGUUAAUUAUCUGAAUGCUGCAUCAAAAGAAUUUGAACAUAUGUAUGUUUUAUUUCAUUCUAUUUGGAAUUAAAGUAUUGGGCAGAUC